rnacentral:rRNA from 1 species
GAGUUUGAUCCUGGCUCAGGAUGAACGCUGGCGGCGUGCUUAACACAUGCAAGUCGAACGAAGCGGGAAGGAAGAAGUUUUUCGAAAUGGAUUUUUUCUUUGCUUAGUGGCGGACGGGUGCGUAACACGUAGGUAACCUGCCCUGUGCUUCGGAAUAACUCCGGGAAACCGGUGCUAAUGCCGAAUAAUAUCGCCUGUCGGCAUCGAGAGGCGAUCAAAGAAUUUUGGCACAGGAUGGGCCUGCGCCGGAUUAGCUGGUUGGUGAGGUAACGGCUCACCAAGGCGACGAUCCGUAGCCGACCUGAGAGGGUGAUCGGCCACACUGGAACUGAGACACGGUCCAGACUCCUACGGGAGGCAGCAGUGGGGAAUAUUGCACAAUGGGGGAAACCCUGAUGCAGCAACGCCGCGUGAGCGAUGAAGGCUUUCGAGUCGUAAAGCUCUGUCCUAUGGGAAGAUG